CAAGCGCAUGGCCGAGAGAGCGCGUUCUUUUUGUUUAUCUCCGGUAAAGACAAUAACGAUUCUCCGUCUUAAAUUGAAUUGUUUAUUUGCAUAUUACGGUACCUAAGGUUUGAUUAUAAACGUUGAUUGACUUGUUUGUAUAAGUUUAUUGGUAACGUUUGGGAUUCAUUUUGUAUGCAUUUUGAAGGAGGGAAACCGAGUGGAUUAUUGACUGAAGCGCGCCAGAUAAACUGAGUUUUUAUGGAUAUAAAGAAGGACUUUAUCGAACAAAAGGACCAUUUGUAAUGUAACUGGGACAUUUUGGAGUGCCAACAGAAGAAUAUCUUCAAAGAUAUAGCAGCCUAGUGCGGAACAUUCCGGGUCUAGUGGUAGUUCUCCACAGGAAUCUGAAGGGUUCCCGGUAACUUCACAUGGAGUUCGCAACUUGGUUGUGAGGUCCUACUGCUCCUCACUGAGAUACCACUGAUCUGAUGGUGAAUGGAGGGGUUGAAAUAUUGCCUU
rnacentral:lncRNA from 1 species